GCUGUGCUUGCUUUGGCAGCAUAUGCUAAGACUGGAACGAUACAGAGAAGAUUGGCAUGUCCCUGCACUAUGAUGGCAUGCAAAUUUGUGAAGCGUCCUAUAUAAAA
ensembl:snRNA U6 U6 spliceosomal RNA